rnacentral:misc_RNA from 1 species
AGACGCCAGUAGCAAGAUCCCAAAGGCGGAGCUCACCGUCCCAGGAGCCAGAAAGGGCAAACUGCCCAUAGGAAGAGAGAACAACGUCCUGGACGAAGUGGGAAUGGCCAGUGAGGCGGCGGCGAGGAACACCCGAAGUUUUCUCCUCCUUGGUGAGGUGCCACAGGAUGAUGGAUUUGUCGCGAGACGAGGUGACAAUCAUGUCGGAGUUAUCUAUAGGGGUGGCGAUAGCGG